UACGUAGGGUGCAAGCGUUAAUCGGAAUUACUGGGCGUAAAGCGUGCGCAGGCGGUUAUGUAAGACAGAUGUGAAAUCCCCGGGCUCAACCUGGGAACUGCAUUUGUGACUGCAUAGCUAGAGUACGGUAGAGGGGGAUGGAAUUCCGCGUGUAGCAGUGAAAUGCGUAGAUAUGCGGAGGAACACCGAUGGCGAAGGCAAUCCCCUGGGCCUGCACUGACGCUCAUGCACGAAAGCGUGGGGAGCGAACAGG
rnacentral:rRNA from 1 species